rnacentral:lncRNA from 1 species
GAACUCUUACAAGGGCCGGACUCCGAGCUUCUACUGCAAGCGAUCUACUCCGAGCUUCUACUACAAGCGGUCUACUUCAAAUUUCUACUACGAGCGGUCUGCGCUGGAUUUUCACUGUAAGCCUUCACCCGAGCUUCCAUUAUGGAUGAAUUCCUUCCGGAUUUCUAUUGCAGGCAGGCUUCGGCCGAGAUUCCUCAACAAAUGAUCUCCAUCCGGGUU